rnacentral:rRNA from 1 species
CCGAGUCUUAACUGGGCGUUAAGUUGCAGGGUAUAGACCCGAAACCCGGUGAUCUAGCCAUGGGCAGGUUGAAGGUUGGGUAACACUAACUGGAGGACCGAACCGACUAAUGUUGAAAAAUUAGCGGAUGACUUGUGGCUGGGGGUGAAAGGCCAAUCAAACCGGGAGAUAGCUGGUUCUCCCCGAAAGCUAUUUAGGUAGCGCCUCGUGAACUCAUCUUCGGGGGUAGAGCACUGUUUCGGCUAGGGGGUCAUCCCGACUUACCAACCCGAUGCAAACUACGAAUACCGAAGAAUGUUAUCACGGGAGACACACGGCGGGUGCUAACGUCCGUCGUGAAGAGGGAAACAACCCAGACCGCCAGCUAAGGUCCCAAAGUCACAGUUAAGUGGGAAACGAUGUGGGAAGGCACAGACAGCCAGGAUGUUGGCUUAGAAGCAGCCAUCAUUUAAAGAAAGCGUAAUAGCUCACUGGUCGAGUCGGCCUGCGCGGAAGAUGUAACGGGGCUAAACUGUGCACCGAAGCUGCGGCAGCGACACUAUGUGUUGUUGGGUAGGGGAGCGUUCUGUAAGCCUGCGAAGGUGGCCUGUGAGGGUUGCUGGAGGUAUCAGAAGUGCGAAUGCUGACAUAAGUAACGAUAAUGCGGGUGAAAAGCCCGCACGCCGGAAGACCAAGGGUUCCUGUCCAACGUUAAUCGGGGCAGGGUGAGUCGACCCCUAAGGCGAGGCCGAAAGGCGUAGUCGAUGGGAAACAGGUUAAUAUUCCUGUACUUGGUGUUACUGCGAAGGGGGGACGGAGAAGGCUAUGUUAGCCGGGCGACGGUUGUCCCGGUUUAAGCAUGUAGGCGGAGGUUCCAGGUAAAUCCGGUACCUUUUAACGCUGAG